UUGACAACUCUAGAGAUAGAGUCUUCCCCUUCGGGGGACAAAGUGACAGGUGGUGCAUGGUUGUCGUCAGCUCGUGUCGUGAGAUGUUGGGUUAAGUCCCGCAACGAGCGCAACCCUUAAGCUUAGUUGCCAGCAUUAAGUUGGGCACUCUAAGUUGACUGCCGGUGACAAACCGGAGGAAGGUGGCGAUGACGUCAAAUCAUCAUGCCCCUUAUGAUUUGGGCUACACACGUGCUACAAUGGACAAUACAAAGGGCAGCUAAACCGUGAGGUCAUGCAAAUCCCAUAAAGUUGUUCUCAGUUCGGAUUGUGGUCUGCAACUCGACUACAUGAAGCUGGAAUCGCUAGUAGUCGUAGAUCAGCAUGCUACGGUGAAUACGUUCCCGGGUCUUGUACACACCGCCCGUCACACCACGAGAGUCUGUAACACCCGAAGCCGGUGGAGUAACCAUUUAUGGAGCUAGCCGUCGAAGGUGGGACAAAUGAUUGGGGUGAAGUCGUAACAAGGUAGCCGUAUCGGAA
rnacentral:rRNA from 1 species